ensembl:misc_RNA
UUUAGAAGGGGUGUUAAAAUUAGGCCCUCGGUGUCUCCCUAACACAGGCGAUGGCAGGACAAGCUUCCCCCAUAAUGCCCUGCCAAUGUGUCUCAACCCUCUCCUGGAGGAACCACCUCAUGGUGUAAGGGUAGCUCUGUCUCCUUGGCCUGUUGAGUCCCUUGCAGCA